GACGAACGCUGGCGGCGUGCCUAAUACAUGCAAGUAGAACGCUGAAGAGAGGAGCUUGCUCUUCUUGGAUGAGUUGCGAACGGGUGAGUAACGCGUAGGUAACCUGCCUUGUAGCGGGGGAUAACUAUUGGAAACGAUAGCUAAUACCGCAUAACAAUGGAUGACCCAUGUCAUUUAUUUGAAAGGGGCAAAUGCUCCACUACAAGAUGGACCUGCGUUGUAUUAGCUAGUAGGUGAGGUAACGGCUCACCUAGGCGACGAUACAUAGCCGACCUGGGAGGGUGAUCCGCCACACUGGGACUGGGACACGGGCCAGACUCCUACGGGAGGCAGCAGUAGGGAAUCUUCGGCAAUGGGGGCAACCCUGACCGAGCAACGCCGCGUGAGUGAAUAAGGGUUUCGGAUCGGAAAGCUCUGUUGUAAGUCAAGAACGAGUGUGAGAGUGGAAAGUUCACGCUGUGACGGUAGCUUACCAGAAAGCGACGGCUAACUACGUG
rnacentral:rRNA from 1 species